GGACUAGCAAGGCCAUAUUUGCAGAUGAGAGCUGAAGCUGCUGUUUUUUGCUUGUUUUGCAAUGACUGGGUGUUUGUUCCCAAUUUAUGUAGAUGCAGCAACUGAACACCGUUUGAUUGAUUAUUUACAUUCUUGAAAAGGUGGGGUUGGAAUCCAUGAUUUCAAUCGUGGAAAACUGAGAUCCAAUCCAACCACGGCAGCUGGAUUGAGGGCUACUUCGCUUUCACACCAUGAGGAAGUUGGAGAGAUCCUUUGGGAUAUGUUAUAUGCUGGGAAGCAGGCUUUGGUUCUUUACUUGAGUCUUCCUUUUCAUCUUGUACUUCUACAAUGAUGGUUUGCGGUUAAGAGUGCUUGCUCGACUAUAAUUGCUGUCCAAUCUGAUCUUGUGGGCCAGGAGGGAAGAACUUCAAAUUGAUUGUUGGGUCGGGUCUUACAGCAUGUGUGCUUGGGCUGAGUUCAUAUCUUGCUGGGUCGGGGUCCUUUUGGGUCCGAUUUCAUUCUUGAAUACUCGAACUCACAUGCAACCAGGUCCAGAUAUCUGUUGGGUACCGUUUAAGUGAAACAAGAGCAUUUACAUAUUUCGGCCCACUUGAUGGAUGGCUUUAUAUUACACAUGCAUGUGCCACUUUGACACAUGCUUGGCGUAUAAAUGGGCUCCCUUUUGCAUGCCUAUGGUUCGGGAAACCUCAUAAGGUUGCAGGAACAAACAAACAAAUAUAUGUACAUUUUUUUUUU